AUAGAAACUUAAGAAC
rnacentral:sRNA from 1 species